ensembl:lncRNA
AGCAAGUAUCCAGGAGUAUCCAGGCUUUGGGAGGCCUGUGGCCUACAUGUGUUGAGCUGUAUAGCUGUCACAUUGUAGUCAUUCCUUGGCCUGGUGAUGGAUGCAGCCCGGACACUGGAAAUAGAGGUGUAUAUUACUGCAGAAGUCACCACGCUAUAUUUGUCUCCGCAGGCACGGUGUCAUUAUGCUGAUAUGCUGCUGGAUAUCCUCCUGCAAAGAAUACAAUAGCAGUUGGACACUGACUGUGGCGGUAGACAAGCAGUACUCUGAACAGCAUGUUCUGCUUUAUAAAUAGCAUUUUUCUUGGUAAAAAAUCCUUUUAUAAAGUUUAUAAAUAUACUUAGGCAGAUGUAGGCAGUCAAUGAUAAUGGCCUUAGAGAUUUCCCGAUGUAUGCUAAAAUAAUGGUCUACGCAAAAGAAAACUCCACUCACCUGAUAAUUGAAUGAAUAUCCUUUUAUGUGUAUGUCUUGUGUAUUGCUUUGAGUCUGUGUGUUUUUUCCACAUAUAAAAUGUCCCAUGUUUUUUUUUAUGUGGGAUUAUUUGAUAUUUAAUUCUUCCCGUUUGCACUCGCAAGAUGAGGAUGUUUGCUUUGUUAAAACUGCGAAUGCUGUUAAAUUAUAACUGAACUUUAAUUGCUAAUUGUUUAGACAUAGUAGUAGUAAAAGUAGGUCUUCUGUGGUCAGAUAGUGGGGAAUAUGGUCUUCUUUGCUCUGGAGUCAAUGGUGAAGGCUGCUGAUCCAGAGAAUGGAGAAUUGAGUUAGAGUUGAGAAUUGUAAGAUAGAGAGAGAGACAGCGAUAGAAGUUGACAGCACAUGAGUGAAAUAUUUCUGUUAUGGAAGAAACUUUUUGAAACUUUUUGUAUGGGUACAUUUUGUCAACCUUUAAUGAAAAUGUAGUCGGAGUUUUGUGGGUGUCAUGCCUGCUGUCGGUGUGUCGACAGCAGCAUGUCAGAAAGACGUCCCUGUCAUUCCUGAGCGGAGCAGACUUUCUCAUUUGGCUGACAGUUCCCAGUAGGGAGGAAGAUUUAGAAGGGAGUCAUAAUUCUGUGUCUUUCUCACUCUUCUCCUGCUGUGAAUUGAAGUCUAUUUACCCUCUCUUUCUAACCAUUCUAUGCUUACAUUUACAUUUAGUCAUUUAGCAGACGCUUUUGUCCAAAGCGACGUACAAGGGAGAGAACAGUCAAGCUAAGAGCAAUAAAAAGCAUGGUGUAACAAUGAAUACUACUUUACAUGAGAAUUAGAAAAACAACGACCUAGAAAAAAGGAAAAAGAAGUGCAGGAAUAGCUGAAGUGCAAGUUAAGCGCUAGUCAGGUGCCAGUUAGGAGGGGAGGUGCUCUCUGAAGAGUUGGGUCUUCAAAAGCUUCUUGAAGGUAGAGAGGGACGCCCCUGCUCUGGUAGUACUAGGCAGUUCGUUCCACCAACGUGGGACUACAAAUGAGAAUAGUUUGGAUUGCCGUGCUUGCACGGACGGCAGUGCCAAACGACGCUCACUAGACGAGCGCAGCGUCCUGGGUGUGACAUUUGCCCUUACAAGAGCAUUUAGGUAGGUGGGAGCAGAGAUCAGAGUUCAAUCCCUCUCAUGUGCCUUAACACUAAGACAGAUCUGCCACUGAAGAUCAAUCACAUCCAAUCGGAUUGUGGCACGAUGUCUUCUUGUCAGUUGGUUCUCAUAUAUCAUGCAUGUUUCCCCAAAACGUUGCCACUGAAUUGAAUUCAGACAUCCUCAUGAUUUGUGUUUAGAUCUUGAUUUGGUUUUUAAGCAUGGACAUUUUCUUGUACAUGAAUGCUAUUUACUGGAGCAUUUAUUUUGUUAAUAUGUUUACUAGGUUAAAAGGAUUAAUCGCAAUAUAAAACUAAUUAAUGAUUUUCAGUAGCAAAUUCGCACUACAGCAUUAUGUGGCAUGAAUUAUUUUAUGAAUUUCAAUCUAUGACAAAUGACAAAUGCAGUGCAGUAUAUUUCUAAAUUAAAUGUAUAGAACCACACAUAGUACAUAUAGUAAAUGUAUUAUAUAUUUACAACAAUCCCAUUCCAUUUCAUUAAAUAGAUCCUGAAGCACUUCACGAUUUGCAACAUCAUCAAUGAAAAGAAAAAAUCAAGAAAAAAGGGUCAACAAUGUUCAUGGUAAAACCAAAGCCUACAUUCUAUCACACAUAUAAACACAUACGUUAAGUAUGUUCACCAUCUCUCUGUUCUCUCUCUGUCACACAUAUAAACACGUAAGUUAAGUAUGUUCACCAUCUCUCUGUUCUCUCUCUGUCACACAUAUAAACACAUAAGUUAGGUAUGUUCACAUCUCUCUGUCACAUAUAUAAACACAUAAGAUAAGUAUGUUCACAUCUCUCUGUCACAUAUAUAAACACAUAAGAUAAGUAUGUUCACCAUCUCUCUGUUCUCUCUCACAUAUAUAAACACAUAAGAUAAGUAUGUUCACAUCUCUCUGUCACAUAUAUAAACACAUAAGAUAAGUAUGUUCACAUCUCUCUGUUCUCUGUCACAUAUAUAAACACAUGAGUUAAGUAUGUUCACAUCUCUCUGUUCUCUCUCACAUAUAUAUAAACACAUACAUAAUGUAACAUAGCAAAUGACUGAGCUUUGAUGAGUUCACUCAACUGGUUGACUGCCAAAGGAAUAAUCAGUCUGUAGGUGCACUCCUAGCUUCUGUGUGUGUGUGUGUGUGUGUGUGUGUGUGUGUGUGUGCGUGUGCGUGUGCGUGUGCGUGUGCGUGUGCGUGUGCGUGCGUGUGUGUGUGUGUGUCUGUGUUUUCCUGUGUGUGAGUGAGUAUUUGCAUGCGUGUGUAUUUAUGCUUAUUUUAUUUUUCACCAGUC